GCGGGUGUAGCUCAGUUGGUUAGAGCGCCGGCCUGUCACGCCGGACGCCGCGAGUUCAAGUCUCGUCCCUCGCGCCA
rnacentral:tRNA from 1 species